AACGAACGCUGGCGGCAUGCCUAACACAUGCAAGUCGAACGAGACCUUCGGGUCUAGUGGCGCACGGGUGCGUAACGCGUGGGAACCUGCCUUUAGGUUCGGAAUAACUCAGUGAAAUUUGAGCUAAUACCGGAUGAUGUCUUCGGACCAAAGAUUUAUCGCCUUUAGAUGGGCCCGCGUUGGUUUAGCUAGUUGGUGGGGUAAAGGCCUACCAAGGCGACGAUCCAUAGCUGGUCUGAGAGGAUGAUCAGCCACACUGGGACUGAGACACGGCCCAGACUCCUACGGGAGGCAGCAGUGGGGAAUAUUGGACAAUGGGCGAAAGCCUGAUCCAGCAAUGCCGCGUGAGUGAUGAAGGCCUUAGGGUUGUAAAGCUCUUUUACCCGAGAUGAUAAUGACAGUAUCGGGAGAAUAAGCUCCGGCUAACUCCGUG
rnacentral:rRNA from 1 species